rnacentral:rRNA from 1 species
AUUGAACGCUGGCGGCAUGCCUUACACAUGCAAGUCGAACGGCAGCACGGGUGCUUGCACCUGGUGGCGAGUGGCGAACGGGUGAGUAAUACAUCGGAACAUGUCCUGUAGUGGGGGAUAGCCCGGCGAAAGCCGGAUUAAUACCGCAUACGAUCUACGGAUGAAAGCGGGGGACCUUCGGGCCUCGCGCUAUAGGCUUGGCCGAUGGCUGAUUAGCUAGUUGGUGGGGUAAAGGCCUACCAAGGCGACGAUCAGUAGCUGGUCUGAGAGGACGACCAGCCACACUGGGACUGAGACACGGCCCAGACUCCUACGGGAGGCAGCAGUGGGGAAUUUUGGACAAUGGGCGAAAGCCUGAUCCAGCAAUGCCGCGUGUGUGAAGAAGGCCUUCGGGUUGUAAAGCACUUUUGUCCGGAAAGAAAUCCUUGGCCCUAAUACGGUCGGGGGAUGACGGUACCGGAAGAAUAAGCACCGGCUAACUACGUG